UGGGGAAUAUUGGACACUGGGCGAAAGCCUGAUCCAGCCAUGCCGCGUGUGUGAAGAAGGUCUUCGGAUUGUAAAGCACUUUAAGUUGGGAGGAAGGGCAUUAACCUAAUACGUUAGUGUUUUGACGUUACCGACAGAAUAAGCACCGGCUAACUCUGUGCCAGCAGCCGCGGUAAUACAGAGGGGGCCAGCGUUAAUCGGAAUUACUGGGCGUAAAGCGCGCGUAGGUGGUUUGUUAAGUUGGAUGUGAAAUCCCCGGGCUCAACCUGGGAACUGCAUUCAAAACUGACUGACUAGAGUAUGGUAGAGGGUGGUGGAAUUUCCUGUGUAGCGGUGAAAUGCGUAGAUAUAGGAAGGAACACCAGUGGCGAAGGCGACCACCUGGACUAAUACUGACACUGAGGUGCGAAAGCGUGGGGAGCAAACA
rnacentral:rRNA from 1 species